GCGUUUAUUAGAUCCGAACCAGCCACCUUCGGGUGCAUUUUGGUGAAUCAUGAUAACUUUGCGAAUCGCAGUGCUUUAAGCGGCGAUGAAUCAUUCAAGUUUCUGCCCUAUCAAGUGGSGAUGGUAGGGUAUUGGCCUACCAUGCUAAUGACGGGUGACGGAGAAUUAGGGUUCGAUUCCGGAGAGGGAGCCUGAGAGACGGCUACCACAUCUAAGGAAGGCAGCAGGCGCGUAAAUUACCCAAUCCUGACACGGGGAGGUAGUGACAAUAAAUAACAAAGCGGGGCUUUUCAAGUCUUGCUAUUGGAAUGAGAGCAAUUUAAACCCCUCAUCGAGGAUCAAUUGGAGGGCAAGUCUGGUGCCAGCAGCCGCGGUAAUUCCAGCUCCAAUAGCGUAUAUUAAAGUUGUUGCAGUUAGAAAGCUYGUAKUUGGAUUUCUGCCUUGUGUCCCAGGYCGGCCCGAUAGGGUCUGUACUAGGAGACGCUUGGCAUCCUGUGGACGAGCGUGUGUGGUAUUAAUUUAUUGUGCACGUGAGUCCACUCGUYUACUGUGAACAAUUUAGAGUGUUUAAAGCAG
rnacentral:rRNA from 1 species